AGGAAAAGAAACGUCGUCUCGUUUCCUUCCGUCCACAUCGAGUCACCUGCUCCACCCCUCCCCUCGACCCAAGCACGCCGCCGCCGCCUCUCCCCCUCCCCUCUCUGUGGCCUCGUCUCCUUCCCCUUUCUCUUCUCAAUCCGGAUCCAUGGAGGUAGGCAGCAGGGGCGCUAUCAACUACGACACUAGGGUUCCUAGCCGCCGCCACACGCCGGCCAGAGCCAUCUCCGCUCCAGCAGCCAUCGAUAGGGCGGGCGUCGGUGCGGCCCGUUGACAGGCCACGCGGCAGCAACACCGCGCACUGCAAGUCGGUCGCCCCCCGCCGCCCGCCAUCCCUGGCCCGCGCGCGCCCCGCCGCCGACCACGAUGAUACCGCCGACUUGUGCAGAGUAAGAGUUGCGCUAAGGAUCCGGCCCAAGAAUGCGGAUGAAUUACCUCAGGGCGCCGACUGAUCGAUACUUGUGUUGAGUUACAGCCCGAGUGUAAGAAGCUGAAGCUCAAGAAAAAUAACUGGGCUUCUGACUCCUACCAGUUUGAUGAGAUAUUUGGUGAAAAUUCUUCACAAAAGCGUAUAUAUGAGGUCGUCGCAAAGCCUCUGGUUGAGGCAAGUCAUGUAUUUCAAUAUCUUUUUUAACAUGCAUCAUAUAAUAUUAAUCAUGAGCAACAUAAUAUUCCAGUUGUUUAUAUUUGUUAAUUUUUAAGUACCUGCACUAACUUUGUAUAAUUUGGAGCACUGGCAGUAAGUUUUCAGGCUCCUUUUUUGUAAUAAAAAAGAUAUACAUAAAUCUCUUAGAUACCCUAUGAUAGUUAUUACUCCCUCUGAUACAAAAUAAGUGUCGUGGACAGCAGUGGCGGACCUAGAGAGUAUUUUGACUGGGGGCAAAGUAUUUGAAUGGGGGCAUACUCUUUCAAAAUGCAAAGAAUUUUAGCAUAUUUUUCAAAAAACACAAGCCAAUAUUACUGGAGUUUCAAAGUUUGAGUGGGGGCCUAGGCCCCCACUCACCUCAAUGUAGGUCCGCCCCUGGUGGACAGUGGCGUUCAUGCAAGAGCGUCCACGUCAUGCUCCGUUCCAAUUGACUGUUGGUGGCGCUCUGGUACUGCUCAAUGAGAUCCCUCAAGCUACAUCAUUGGAUAGUUGAACAUGUAUGUUAAGUAGAUAAUUCAGUUAACCAGUGUGCGUCUACUUAAUCAAGUUAUACUAUUUCACUAAUUCAUGCAAAGCAGGGUCUAAUUGUAUGCAUAUAUCAUGUUAAACCUAGGUAACUAAUUUCGUUUUGUGCAUUUUUUAUCCAUACCAUGCAUAUAUCAUGUGAAUGGUUGAACAAGUUUAGUUGAUAAGAUCUUGUCUGUUGGAGACUUGGAGCGAAUUGCACCAGGUUCACAGUAACAAGCGCUAGCUUCUACUCAAAAAUUAGGUGUUCAUGCAUGCAUGGCUGCUGAAUUAAUUAGUAUAAGCUAGCAGCUAACACACGUGUACAUGCAUGUUGUUAUCAACAAUUCAGCAUCGAUCUGUCUGAAUAAUUAGUUGGAAUAUAAUCUCGGAAUAAGAACACUGUGAGUUUAUAAAAUGCAUGGUCAGUUAACUUGAUCCACACAGAACAGCAAAUCCGAUGACAUGCAUGUUCGACAAGAAGACGAUCAACACCACUCUCCCUAAACAGUCUUAAGAUAUCACACCAAAGGGUAGAAGACCCAUGCUAGAAAAACAUACUACUGUACAUACAGUUUCAGUUCUGACUUAGGAAGGAACGAUCAGCAACAUACUGAUUAACUAGCUGCUGGUAGAUCCGGUUCUCCAAAGUAAUCAAAAGAAAGAAGUUGUAAUUUGAUGGACUAAUUAACAAUGUUAUCUUUUAUUUCUCGAAUCGUGUCUAUUCGCACAAUUACUAUGUACACGGCAACACAUGGUCUAUAGUGGUACAAACUGUUCCAGGUUAGCUUUCAAUCUGUUAUUCAAGUUACUGUAUGUACCCUGACUGAGGAAACAUUUUUUUCAGGAAAGAAGGAUGGUAUGGAAUCGACACAUGAUUCGGUUAUGUUUCGUUACAUCUAAGAUGUGUUGAAUGGGUUUCCUGGAACUAAUAGAUGGAUGGGUGCUAGGGCUGGGAUUGGGCUAGGAAUUUUUUCUAUGACAGUGAUUAUUCUAUGCAAAUGUAGCAAUUUUAUAAGUUACUCAGUAUGUUUGUUGAAACCAGAGUUUGUAGAAACUAGAAAGGAUGGUGCUAUGUUCCUGUCCAACUGUCUUUUUUUCUGAAUGGUUUGUUUAGAACUUGUUCCUAGCAGAUUUGAAAAUUCUGGAGAUGAGAUUGCAGCAGUACACCCUAUCCCCUGAUGGAGAAAAGGAGCCUAGCGAAGAAUAUUGGGCUUGAGCUGGAAUGUGAGGUGCUUUCACACCUUAGGGAUGUAGCACUCUCUGGUGCUCACACUCUCGGGUGGACAUACUCUUGGGAAGAGAUCGUCUGGAGAGCUUGGUAUUCGACUACGCUUUGCCAAAUGAUCCUCUGAAGUUUGAUAACUCCUACUUUAUGUAAGCUUAAUCGUCACGGUUGUUGAUUGCACAUUGGCUUAAGAUUAUAUAGAUGUAAUGUCAUCAGCGCAACAUUGUGAAGUUGUACAUCCCUGGACGUCAUCUUUUGUAUAUGCUGCAGUGAGCUUCUAAAAGGGUACUCCUGAAGUGGCUUACAGAACAGGUUCUCAUGGAGGAUCAACUUUCGGUCCCUUAGUUGAAUUAUACGCAAAGGUAAAGAAGAGUUUAAUUCAUCUUCAUUUGCUUGUUGGAGAUGUUGGCAGGACGCGUUCUUUAGAGAUUACGCUGAUUCGCACAAGAAGCUUUCGGAGCUCUACUUUACUGGCAUGGACAUGCAGAGACGAAGCCAAGAGGGCUGUGAGGAGAACUACCACUGUCUUUGCAGUUGCGGUUGCCGUCAUCACCUGCGCUUACAUAUGUUGAUCCAAGAGGACGCUCAAUGGUUAGAUUGCAAGUCUCCAUGUGCAGAUGACUCCAGUUCAGUUAUGGGUUCUGAAGAACAAAGUUAAAUCAUACAUUGAGAUGUUGUGUAGUCAUAUUUGUAACCAAUCUGCUGAUAUAGUGAUGAGGAUGCAGAUGUACUAUC